rnacentral:lncRNA from 1 species
CUUUUUGGUCUUUUUAUUUUUCUAGAGAUUAACACUUGGCAGAUAAAUAAGCACACUUAUCUACACACUCUUUUUAUUUUGUUUUCAUUUUUAUAGAAUGCAGUAAAUUAAAGAAAGAAAAUAUUUAUUGAGUUUUCUAAGUUUUUCUCUUUAAGAUAAAUAAAACACUAAAACAGAAAAGAAUAAAUAAGAAGGGCAAAUAAAAACUUACUUGAUAAAACGGGGAGGAACUCCCUCAAGCUGGAUGUGGUU